GUUCUGAUAGUGUGAACUAUCCCCCGUUGGUGAUUGAAUUCCAAAUUGCGGACUGCAGUUAUAUGCCAACCCGUGGCUUGAUUGAACAAUCUCCUGGCAGCUAAGCUUUUGGCUCUUCAUUUACAAGUAGAAGAAAAAACCAGGAAUAUUAAAGAAACUUCCAGGAAAAACUACUUAGAUUUAGAAACGUGUCCAAGGAGAAAAGACAAAAGUGAUUCCACGUCAACAGAAUAGACAAGGGUGUCUGGUCCAGCUUUUCGUGGAGGAGGCUAGCACAUCAACCCACGGGUAUGAACUCCUACUUUUAUUUGAUGCUUUCAAUUAGAGUCGAACACAUGACUUCAGGAUAGUAAGCCAGCCCCAUAUUCCAUAGCCUAUGUAAGAUUUCAUCUUAUUGUUAAAGCUAAAUGAAAAUAAAUUAUAUUUCUAAUGGGUAUUGGAAUAAAAUGUUCACGGGUUCUAACAUUUGAAUUAUAACUCAUAGUUAGAAUUAACCUUGUCUGAAAUUGUUAAAACAUUAAAAGAAUCUCUCAUUUCCUACCAUUAGCUUUUAGAUAAUGUUCAAGACGACAGUUUUUCCAAAGGUCAUAUCCUGUUUGGAGGCAUUGCUUACGAAAUAUGUCCCUACGUACCCUCUAAGGACAUCCAUCCCUGCCAAAAUAGCUGGCCAAUUCCAGAAGAGAAAAAGGGUGUUUCUUUUUCUUUCUCUUUUUAGCAGCCUUAAGCUGAUUUUUUAGAAUAUUGCAUGCUUAUCCUGUUGCUGGUUUAUCCUAACUGACGUGUUCCCUUUUAGAGAUCUAGUGUGUUCUUAAGCAUCCAAGUUACUAGACUAUGUUUCUUUUGUAGCAACAGUGAACUUUCUUUUACUUGAAAGCUUGAGGCCUCCAAUAUCAUCUUGAUCUUGAACUUACUCAACCUAGUCACUUUCUUCAAAACCUUAGCGUUGUCAAUGCUCUCUGGUUCACCUCAUUUAUCUCCCUGCAUUAUUUGUUUCCCAGCACACAAUCUUUGUGAAUGGACUAGAAUGGCAUCUUUCAUUAGCAAGCUAACACAACUGCCAACUUUUUGUAUAUAUACACUUGUAACUCCUUUUUUUUUAUUCUUACAUUUACCAGUUUAGCAAAAGAGAAAAAAAUGGUGGCCUCCUCUUGGUUUGCUUUACUAUUUUCAUAGUAUAAAGUUUUAUAUGCUUUCUAUGAAAAAACAAAUGUCAAAGAAAUCAGCAUUUUACCAUAGGAAGAGAAUGGGAAAACAAAUAUAUGUAUAUAUAUAGAAGCCAAUAAAGUUGUCAUGAAAUAGGGGGCUUUCUUAUCUUAAGAUGAAAAAAGAAUACUAGUCCUCCAUUUCCACCACAGAAUCAGAUUCCCCAUUUUAUGUUUUUUUUAACUAGCUAGAUCAUGAAAAAUAGAAAGAAAAAGAAGGGAACAAUUUUUCCUGCCUUUUAAACAAGAAAUUAAAAGGUUCUAACUAUAUC